GUUCGAUUGGUUUUCGGAGUGGUAUCCGGUGAUGCCGGUGUGCGAUUUGGACAAGAGAGUGCCGAUUGCGAAGAAGGUUUUAGGGUUAGAUUUGGUGGUGUGGUGGGAUAGGAAUGAGAAUGCGUGGAAGGUGUUUGAUGAUAGUUGUCCUCAUAGAUUGGCGCCGUUGUCGGAAGGGAGGAUCGAUCAAUGGGGAAGACUGCAGUGUGUGUACCAUGGAUGGUGCUUUAAUGGCUCCGGUGACUGUAAAUUCAUCCCUCAAGCGCCGCCCGAUGGCCCUCCGGUUCACUCAUCCAAGAAGGCAUGCGUCGCUGUAUAUCCAAGCACAGUGCAGAAUGGCAUAGUGUGGUUCUGGC
rnacentral:misc_RNA from 1 species